UGAUGAGCAAUGUGUGCAGGUGAUGCAUAAUGGCAUCAAUCUGUUUUCUCCCUAGUUGUUGGGCAUUGCGUGGAGUCGAGGUCUAACAAUAUAUAAAGGGGCAAUA